rnacentral:misc_RNA from 1 species
UUGAUUCAUUUUUUAAAUCACUCAGACGUAGAUUCCGCCGGCGGCGAAUGCAGAGAUUGGGUCCCCCGGCGGGCGCCUUGGUGUCCGGGCCCUCGGGUGAGAGGGCGCCGGGGCGCUCCGCCGAAGCAACGUGCGGUAUGUUCACAGGGGUUUGGGAGCCUGAACUCGGUAAUGAUCCCUCCGCUGGUUCACCAACGGAGA